rnacentral:tRNA from 1 species
UCUAUAAUGGCAGAUUAGUGCACUGGGUUUAAACCCCAGUUAUGAAAUUAAUUUCUUUUAGAA